CUUGUACUUCGGUACAGUAUUAACAAAUGACGAAAACGGGCAGGAUUCAUCAAAAAGUAAAUUAAACAAUUAACGUUAAACUCCGGCGGAGUCGCAUCAUCACCAUCCAGCUUUAACGUUACCUGAGUCACUGAGAAAGAGGAACGCUGAUGAAGCUUUUCUGAAUGAUCAUGAUGGGUCAGAGCCGCCCCAAGAAGAGAAGGAGACCUCUGGCUGAAUUCACGCCGGCACCUAUCGAAGGGCAUCAAACCCAAAUAUUUCUGUCCCAGAACCUGAGACUCCCGCAGAAUGUCGUGGAGCAAAGAGAAAAGCUGAUGAAGCUUUUCAUGAAGAUGAGUGGACAGAGCCGGCGCGCAGCGAAUGAGAUGUCUGACCGAUAGUGAGUCAGAACAUCUGACAUGGUCAUGGGGAAUCAUGCAAACCCCAAACUUUUCUCUAGCCAGAGGUUCCCACGCCAUUUUUUGUAAGAUAGGCAUUAUGUUAGAAAUGCAAAAAGUUCCACCACCGGGCCCCCCGUGGUUGGAGUGCUUAGACGGAUACAUCAUGGUCCUCGAGGGGUUGGCUGAACCCUGGGUGACGUCUUGCAGAUGUUUUACAGGGAACAUCGGUAGGCUGAGCGAGAAAAUCAUCCAGGACUUAUUUCAUGAUUAUUGCAGGCCAUCGGUCACUGCCUUCAACGCAUGCGGGUGUAGGCAGACCAUUUAGAUAUGCACCAUCAGCCUACCGUGCCUGCCCUAGGAACAUGGGCAGAUUUUUUUAUACUGAACGUGUGCUCCACCUACAGCCAUAGGACCUCGCAAAAAGUUGGAAACCUACAGACUUUGUGAUGAAUGCAGAAACUUCUAUUCCAUGUGCCUGUAUUCAUAUGAAAGACCAGAAGAGCAUUUGCUUAAUCAUCCCUGGAUGACAAAUGAUGAAUGGGCGUACACAGAUGAUGAGCCAGAUUCAGUAGAUGAGAUAAAAAGAGAUACGGAGUGGGCGUUUCCCUAAUCCAACGGGAAGACCCGCUGAGGACACCAUCCAUCCGGCAGAACCGCAUGGCCCACCAACAAUAGCCGCAUUGUUCUCCUUGUCUGCAAGGAAACGUGGGCUACAGAGACAAGCCAUUGUUUUAUUGUGUAAUGUUACCUGUGAUUCGAUAAACGAUAGCUGCCCGUGUUUUUGUCAGAGGAAUGUGCGAAUAUCUCAUCCACGCUCUUAGGUCACUGUGGAGUUCUGGCAAAGGCCCUGCUCGCACGCCUGCUCCGAGAGAAUUAAGAAAGCAGAAACCUUUCUAUUUAAGAACGGCAUUCCUGGGAAAGUAAAAGAGAGUGAGAGAGAGAUCAUUUUUCUUAAAUAAACAAUGCCCUGAAAUAAGUUCUGAUAUGGUGCCAGGCUUUGUCAUGUAAGGUUCCCUGUACUGAGAGAUCUGGUGUGUUAUUGAGAUAUCGUGACACAGGACGAUGUUUUCUCUCAAGUUUAGCCAGAAUGUCGGUUGGGAGGCAUUACCACAGGAUAUGAGCUAAGAGAGGGACCAACGAAACAAUGUGAAAGAGAGAGUUUAGUCAUCUAUCCAUCGGACAGCGUUCCCAAACUGCAGAGAUCGGAUUUACAAAAUUACAAACUCUAGACAGUGAAAUAUCACGUAAAACUAUAAUGAAAAACACUAUUCGAUUUUGUAUUUUGACUUCACUUAACAUCAAUUCACGUAAAGAACAUAAAGUUACGUGCCGUUUUAUGUGUCAAAGAGAGAUGGCGAUAGAGAGAAGCAUUAGAUAGUAAUAUACCAAGUCAAAUUAUUGUAUAUUUUACGAUCCAAUUUUUUAAAUGUAGCUUCAGGUGUUAUUGCUUUUAUAAUAUUACAUUUUCAUUAACUAGAAUACAUUUUGUAGUUGUUUUGUUGUGUUUAUGGGUGUUCAACAAUUCAUCGUGAUUUAUUGCGUUCUAAAGAAAUUAUGUUUACAUAAUAUAUGUCUGUGUACUGCGUCUAUUCAUUUUGUAUUCAUA